rnacentral:ncRNA from 1 species
AUUCUGGUUGAUCCUGCCAGUAGUUAUAUGCUUGUCUCAAAGAUUAAGCCAUGCAUGUCUAAGUACACACGAAUUAAAGUGAAACCGCAAAAGCUCAUUAUAUCAGUUAUGGUUCCUUAGAUCGUUAACAGUUACUUGGAUAACUGUGGUAAUUCUAGAGCUAAUACAUGCAAUUAAAACAUGAACCUUAUGGGACAUGUGCUUUUAUUAAGCUAAAACAAGCGAUCGCAGAUCGUUAUAUUGGUUGAACUCUAAAUA